UAGGGAAUCUUCCACAAUGGACGAAAGUCUGAUGGAGCAACGCCGCGUGAGUGAAGAAGGUUUCGGAUCGUAAAGCUCUGUUGUUGGUGAAGAAGGAUAGAGGCAGUAACUGGUCUUUAUUUGACGGUAAUCAACCAGAAGUCACGGCUAACUACGUGCCAC
rnacentral:rRNA from 1 species